CGGGGGCGGGGAGAGGGAUGAAGGCUCGUGGGCCCAUCCUGCGGCCCCUCCCUCCCCGCCUCGCGUGGGGAGCCGGGAGCCGGCGGCGGCGAGGCUGGGGACUUCACCCAGCUCACCUGCGCUUCCCGCGUGGCCGGCAGCCGCCCCCAUCGCAGCUUCCCGGAAUCGUGGGAUGCGUUUAUGGCCAGCCCCUGUGUUGCUGCUCCCCAGAUCCUUGUGACCAUGCUCUUCUCUGCGUCAGAAUCAAUGACAUAGCAGUAGCCAUUGGAAAGGAAGCUAAACUCUACCUGUUCCAAGCCCAGGAAUGGCUAAAGCUGCAGGAAAGCGGUCACGGUUAUAGUUGUAGUGAAAAAUUAUCCAAAGCUCAGUUGACAAUAGCCAUGAAUCAGACUGAACAUAAUCUGACAGUGUCUCAGAUUCCAUAUCCACAAAUGUGGCACGUGUUCUAUGCAGACAAGUAUACGUGCAAAGAGGACAAUGAGAAUUCUCAGGUGGAAGAUAUCCCAUUUGAAAUGAUGUUACUAAACCCGGAUGCUGAAGGGAAUCCAUUUGAUCAUUUCAGUGCUGGAGAAUCUGGGUUACAUGAGUUCUUUUUCCUCCUAGUCCUAGUGUACUUUGUGAUUGCUUGCAUUUAUGCGCAAUCAUUGUGGCAGGCUAUUAAGAAAGGAGGACCCAUGCACGUGGUUUUAAAGGUUCUGACAACUGCAUUGCUGUUACAAGCUGGUUCAGCUUUUGCUAAUUACAUUCAUUUCUCCAGUUACUCCAAAGAUGGAAUAGGGGUACCUUUUAUGGGAAGUUUGGCAGAAUUUUUUGACAUCGCUUCCCAAAUUCAAAUGUUAUACUUACUUCUGAGUCUAUGCAUGGGUUGGACAAUAGUCAGAAUGAAGAAGUCUCAGAGCAGACCUCUCCAGUGGGAUUCUACUCCUGCGUCCACUGGCAUUGCUGUCUUCAUUGUCAUAACACAGAGUAUUUUGCUACUUUGGGAACAGUUUGAAGAUACCAGUCCUCACAGCCACCAUUCACACCACAACUUAGCAGGGAUCCUUCUAAUUGUUUUAAGAAUUUGCCUAGCGUUGUCAUUAGGCUGUGGACUCUACCAGAUCAUCACAGUGGAAAGAAGUACACUCAAGAGGGAGUUCUAUAUCACUUUUGCCAAAGGCUGUAUCUUGUGGUUUUUGUGCCAUCCAGGUCUUGCAUGCAUUUCUAUCAUUUUUAAUGACUACCAAAGAGAUAAGGUCAUUACAGUAGGCGUUAUCCUUUGCCAGUCUGUUUCCAUGGUGAUUCUCUACAGGCUCUUUCUAUCCCACAGUCUUUACUGGGAAGUUUCUUCACUUUCCUCAGUAACACUGCCACUGACCAUAUCAUCUGGACACAAAAGUCGCCCUCACUUCUGAUACUUGAUUUUCUUUAGAGGAAAAGUAAAUUUAUUUACCAGAGUGCAAUAAGGAUUCAAAUACAGUGACUUUUCUUUUCAUACUUUUGGUAUGAAAAAUUGAACAAAGAAAGCAGAGCAUGUUAUUUAUACGACUGCAUUUAAGCAGUACCAAACUGAAAAAAAGAUGGUAGCUUGUCCUUUUGGCUCCUUAGCCAAGCAUGUCAUCAACUGUCUGAACUGUGGUUGCUUCCAUAGUGAUUCAUGAAACUGGUAUGAAAUACCUUUCUAUUUUUUUUAAUAUGAGUGUGUGUUUGUCAAUCACUUUUUAAAGACUUCUUUAUAUAGAACUUAUACAUUUCUUGAUAAUGCCUAAGAUAUUUUAAUGUUUUCUUUCAUUAUAUGUUGUAUAUGGCUAUUGUUUUACAUGUGAAGACUGUUGGUUUCUGUAUUUUAAUUUUGCUUUCAAUCACCCAACUGAAAUCUCCUAACAGUUGUAAUAACUUUCUAGUUGGUUCUUUUGUACUUUCUAGAUAAACAGUCAUGUCAUCUGCAAAUAAUGACAAUUUAACUUCUCUUCUUCCCUUUUAUACCUCUCAUUUUUACUCCUUAUUGCUAGUAUCUCCAGAACAAGGUUAAUUAGUUUUGGUAACAUGGUGGUAAGAGUUCUACAUUCCACAUGAAGUGGUUCCAAGUAGACUUGGAAAAGUUAAAUAUUUAUACUGUAAUCUCUAGAAUAAGAACUAAGAAAAAAACAAACUAUAUAUUUUUUUUUGAAAAUGCAACAGGAAAAUUAAAAUGGAAUAAUAAAAAAUGUUCAAAAAAGAAAAAGAGGAAAGGGGAAACAAAGGAAUUAAAAACAGAGAAAAAUAGAAAAGCAGAAAACAGAAUGAUAGACCUAUAUCCAAACACAUCGAUAAUUACGUUAACUGUAAGUAUUCUAAAUCACCAGUUAAAAGACAGAGAUUGUCAGAAUAGAUUUUUUUGAAUGUCCCAACUAUAUGCUAUCUGUAAGAAGCUCACUUCAAAUAUAAUGAUAUAAGUAAGUUGAAAUAAAAUAAUGGGAAAGAUAUACACAUGCAGACAAUAAUCAACUAAAAGCUGGAAUGACUAUAUUAAGAUCAAAAUAGACUUCAGAGUAAUGAAAAUUACCAUGGAUAAAGAAAGGAUUAAAAGAUAAAAGGGACAAUUCACUAAGACAACAUUGCGAUCCUAAAUGUAUACAUCAAACAAUAGAUCUUCAAAAUACAUACAUCAAAAACUGACAGAACUGAAAGAAGAAAUAGACAAACUCAUAAUUAUAGUUGGAGACCUGGGUUCUCUUAGUGAUCAACAGAACUAGUAAAAAAUCAGCUAGAGGGCUUCCCUGGUGGCACAGUGGUUGGGAGUCCGCCUGCUGAUGCAGGGGACACAAGUUCGUGCCCUGGUCCGGGAAGAUCCCACAUGCCGCGGAGCGGCUGGGCCCGUGAGCCAUGGCUGCUGAGCCUGCGUGUCCAGAGCCUGUGCUCCGCAACGGGAGAGGCCACAACAGUGAGAGGCCCGCAUACCGCAAAAAAAAAAAAAAAAAAAAUCAGCUAGAAUAUAGAAUUGAACACCACCACCAAUCAACCAGAUCUAGUUGAUAGUUACAGAUCACUCAACCCAACUGCAGAAAAAUAUACAUUCUUUUCAGGUGCACAUGGACCAUUCAUUAAAAUAGACUGAAAAAAAAAUGAUAGACUAUAUCCUGGGUCAUAAACCAUAACAAGUCUAAAAGAAUUGAAUUUAUACAAAAUAUGCUCUCUGAUCAUAAUCAGGAGCAGAAAGAUAACUGGGAAAUCUACAAACACUUGAAAACCAAACACUUUUUAAAUGAACCAUGGCUUACCAAAUAUAUUUUGAAUUGACAGAAAAUGAAAAUACAGCAUAUGAAAAUUUGUGGGAGGAAGCAAAAGUAUUUCUUAGAAGGACGUUUAUAGCACCAAAUGCUUGUAUAGGGACUUCCCUGGUGGCGCAGUGGUUAAGAAUCCGCCUUCCAGUGCAGGGGACGUGGGUUCAAUCCCUGGUCAGGGAACUAGAUCCCACAUGCAUGCUGCAACUAAGAGUUCACAUGCCACAUCUAAGGAGCACAUAUGCCACAACUAAGGAGCCGGUGAGCCACAACUAAGGAGCCUGUGAGCCACGACUAAGGAGCCCACCUGCUGCAACUAAGACCCAGCGCAACCAAAAUAAAUAAUAAAAGUAAAUAAAUAAAAUUAAAUAAAAAUUAAAAAAAGAAAGGAGCUACAAGCAUGAAAAGACAUAAAGAAAACUUAAAAAAUAAUGCUUGUAUAGAAAAGAAGAAAAGUCUUAAUAAUCUCAGCUUCCAACUGAAGAAAAUAAAGAAGUGAAAAAUAACCCCAAAGCUAUCAAAAGGAAGGAAAUAAUAUAAGAACAGAUAUCAAUGAACUUGAACACCAAAAAACCAUGAAGAAAAUCAAUAAAACCAAAACUGCUUCUUUGAAAAGAAUCAGUAAAAUUGAUAAACUGCUAAUAAAAUUGACAAAGAAAAUAAGAAGAAACACAAAUUACUGUUAUCAGGAAAAAAAGAGGAGAUAUCAGACUCGGCAGACAUUUACAGACUAACAAGGAAAUACUGCAAAACAAAACCAAAAACAAAACCUCUGCUAACAUUACUAUGACAAUUUAGUUUAAAUAAUCAUUUCCUGAAAACCAUAUGUAAAGAACUAUGAAGGGUCUGAGAUUUUACCCUACUUACUACCUAACUAGUUAACCUGUUACUGCUUCAUGGAGGCUGCAGAACACAUCAGACUCCUAGGUCAGAGACAAAGGACUUUAUUACUCAGAACACAGCAUCAUGAGCUUCAGGCUGUUUUGCAUUGGUUACACAUACCUCUAAGUCCAUGGGGGCAAUACUGGUAAGACUAGAUGGAUGUUACACAUGCAGUGGAUUUGUGUAGCCCCCAAGGAACUCUGAACUUGGGGAAUUUCUCUCUUUUGUAACUGGCUUUGUGUUGAGAGGGAGAAGUUACCUCACCUUUCUCACUGCAAACACAAUCCUGAGAAAGACCCAGACAGAGAGUGUUUGGAGCCUUGCAUUCUUGACAUACCCAGCAAAGGCAUAUGCGGGGAUUCACUGGGCUCAUGAUGGAGUACCUCUUCCAAUACCACAAACCACCAAAACCUACUCAAGAUGAACUAAAUAUCCAAAAUUGUCCUAUAAUGACUAAGGAAUUCUUGUUUAAAAGGUUUAAAAGCCUUCUGAAAUAGAAAUCUCAAGGCCCAGAUGGUUUUACUAGUAAAUUCUACCAUGCAUUUAAAGAAGAAAUAAUACCAAAUUCUACACAGUCCCUUCCAGAGAAAUAUAAGAGGAAAGAGAGAAAGAUGCCAAGGCAAUUCAGUGGAGAAAUGAAUGUCUUUCCAACAAACAGUGUUGGAACUAUCGGACAUCCACAUGCAAAAUAAAUGAACCUCAACAUAAACCCCACACCUUAUACAAAAAUGAACUCAAAAUGAAUCAUUGAUUUAAAUGUAAAACUACAAAACUAAAACUUUUAUAGAAUACAUAGGAUGAAAUCUUUGUGACUUAAAGUUAGUCAAAGAGUUCUGACAUACCAAAAGCACAAUCUACAGAAGAAAAUAUUGAUAAAUUUGACUUCAUUAGAAUUGAAAACUUUUGUUCUGCAAAAGACACAGUUAAGAGAAUGAAUAGACAAGUUACAGUCUGAGAGAAAAUAUUUUAAAUCACGUAUGCAAUAAAGUGCUCUAUAUUAAAAAAUGUGUAAAGAGCUCUUAAAACCCUACAGUGUGAAGACAACCCAAUUAAAAAAUGGACCAGGGAAUUCCCUGGUGGUCCAGUGGUUAGGACUCAGCACUUUCUCUGCAGAGGGCCCGGGUCUGAUGGUUGGGGAACUAAGAUUGCACAAGCUGCACAUGCAGCCAAAAAAAAGGACCAAAAUCUUGAACAGGCACUUCACCAAGAGAACACAUAUAGAUGACAAAUGAGCACAUGAAAAGAUGUUCAACAUAAUUAGCCAUUAGGGAAAUGUUAAUUAAAAUCAUGGUGAGAUAACCCCUAUUAGAACGCUAAAAUAAAAAUACUGAAAACACCAAGUCCUACCAGGGGUGUGGAGCAUCUGGAACUCUCCUGUGUUGCUGGUGGGAAUGCAAAAUGGCACAGCCACUCUAGAAAAACUGUUCUGCAGUUGCUUCUAAUGUUAAAUAAAUUACCAUAUGACACAGCAAUCCUACCUCUGGGUAAUAACCCUAGAGAAGUGAAAACUUAUGUUCACACAAAAAUCUGUACACAAAUGUUUAUAGCAGCUCUAUUCACAAUCAUAAAAAACUGGAAACAACCCACAUGUCCUGAAUUUAUAAAGUAUGAUAUAUCCAUGCAAAGGAAUAGUGUCAGUAAUAAAAAGAAACAAACUUAAUUCACACAACUUGGAUGAGUCUCAAAGGCAUUAUGCUGAAUAAAAAAGUCAGUCUUAAAAGAUUAUAUACUACAUGAUUCCAUUUAGAUGGCAUUUUCAAAUAAACAAAAACUAUAGUCAUGGAGAAAAGAUCAGUGGUUGCCAGGAAUUACAGGUGGGAGAAGGGUAAGACUAUGAAGGGGUAACACCAAGGAGAUUUUGGAGGUGUUGGAACGUUUCUGUAUCUUGACUGUUGUUGUGGCUACAUCAAUCUAUGCUUGUGUUGAAAGUCAAAAAGCUGCACACUAAAAAAAUCAAUUUUGUGUCAUAAUUUAGAGAAUAAAAUAAGUUUUUAAAAAUGGAUGUUGGAUGUUGUCUAAUGCCUUUCAGCAUCUAAGAAUAUGAUGGUAGGAUUUUUCUCUAUUGUUCUAUUAACUAGUGAGUAGUAGUAUCAGAUUUCCUGAUGAAGAACCAUAUAUUUUCGAAAGUCUUACCAUCCCAAACUAAUGAGAUUUUUAAAAACUAGGAUAGUUAAUAGGGUAUAAACUUUAGCAGUUUAGAGAAUGAAAACAUUCAGGUUCUCUCAUUCUUUGAGAAUGUCUUUUCUUAUUUUUUUUAACACCUUUAUUGGAGUAUAAUUGCUUUACAAUAGUGUGUUAGUUUCUGCUGUAUAACAAAGUGAAUCAGCUAUAUGUAUACAUAUAUCCCCAUAUCUCCUCCUUCUUGCGACUCCCUCCCAUCCUCCCUAACCCACCCCUCCAGGUGGUCACAAAGCACCGAGCUGAUCUCCCUGUGCUAUGUGGCUGCUUCCCACUAGCUAUCUAUUUUACAUUUGGUAAUGUAUAUAUGUCCAUGCCACUCUCUCACUUCGUCCCAGCUUACCCUUCCCCCUCCCCGUGUCCUCAAGUCCAUUCUCUACGUCUGCAUCUUUAUUCCUGUCCUGCCCCUAGGUUCUUCAGAACCAUUUUUUUUUUUUAGAUUCCAUAUAUAUGUGCUAGCGUACGGUAUUUGUUCUCUUUCUGACUUACUUCACUCUGUAUGACAGACUCUAGGUCCAUCCACCUCACUACAAAUAACUCAGUUUUGUUUCUUUUUAUGGCUGAGUAAUAUUCCAUCGUAUAUAUGUGCCACAUCUUCUUUAUCCAUUCAUCUGUUGAUGGACACUUAGGUUGCUUCCAUGUCCUGGCUAUUGUAAAUGUCUUUGAAAGACAAGAGUCAUGUGUUCUGAAAAGUGCAUUUAAAAUCAGUUGUAUUAUUUUGAAUUUUUGCUUUAUGCAACACUUAUAUUUCAGGGUUUUUGCCACUAGAUGCUUUAGAGUAUAGCUGGUUAGUUGUAAAAGGUGCCAAAAUCUUUCAUAUUUAGAAGGUAGUAUUACCUACUAGAAGGAACAGGGACUUUUUAACAAGGCAGACUGAUUUCAAUCCUGGCUCUGCCAUUUUUCAGUCAUUUUCUCAUGUGUAAUCUGGUUUUGGAGCAAACAGUGAUUCCUUUAGCAUGGAGAAGGGGUCUUACUGAAUAGAGUAAGGAGUGUCCAAAAGUGAGAGAUGGGUUCUAAUAUUACUAACUCAUAGGAUUGUUGUAAAGAUUAUGUAUGGUGCUUGUGCCUACUCAGUGCGAUGUUCUUUAUUUAUAGACCUGAAGGUUGUGUGCAAAACUUUCAGCGAACCUGAGGUUCUUCCUGAUCUAUUCAUUCAUAGAGAUAAUAUUUAAAUGUCCAUGAGAUGAGAGUGUUUGUUUUAAAUAAUUGUACAUAUGUGGUUAGAACAGAAAGUAGGUGUGACUGGAAUAUAUUCAAGAUUCUAUCUAAUUCACACGUGACUACAUUCCAACAUACACCCACACAAAAUAAACUUUAAAAUCUCUUGCCUAGCCUGUGAGCCUCAUAGAUCUUUCAGAAGAUUAGCUUUUAAGACUUAUCCAGAAGUUAGAGUGUUUGUAAAAGAUUUUUUGGGGGGGAGGGGGGUGUUAAAGUAGAAAGUGGUUACUUCUCAGAUACACCAAUUUCUAUGACCAAAGUUCCUUAUCAGAUUAGUAAACUAUAAUAUUCUUUUCUUCCUUUUGUAAAGAUAUCAGGGUCUGUAGAAAUAAAUGGCAUUCAAUAGUUAUUAAAGUUUACUAUUUCCAAACUAACAAUCCUUUUAAGCCCCUGUAAAUUCUAUCUUUGAUUGUUCCUAAAAUCAUAUAGAGCGGUUCAUAAGCUUAAUUUGAGAAUUCUAGAUGGAAACAUGCUAAAUGUAGUAAAGUCAGGCUUUAAGAACAAUAUCAAAAAUCACAAAUUAUGGCUCAUAUCUAGAUUUCAAGGUCAUAGAUCUCUCACCUUUUUAAAUAUAAAUUCCUUUCCAGAGAGCAACAUUUCACCGCCUGCUCUUCAGCUUCCGGGAACCCAUCUCUCUCACUCUAUCCAGUAGGACCCCUUCACAGUGUUGAAAGAAUCACUGUGCUCCGAACCAGGUGUCUUCCCCCAGGGCUCUGCUUUAAGUCGGUAAGGCAAUAUUUCCUGCCCUUUGUCUUCUUUUUUCUCAUACUCUUUACCAUAAUGUUAUUUUGCUGUUUCUAGUUCUUGAUGAUACACCACUGUCAGCUCAAGCUCACGCUAUGACUUUCAACAGCUAUGACAUGUCUAAACCACAUUAUCUUGAAAGUGUUGGCACAAGUGAAAAAUAGAAAGGAGCCAAAUUAAUAAAACAAAACAUUUCAAAGGGUUCCUAUGGAUACACCCUGAAACCAGGAAGUACACUUCGGGUUGAGUUGACUCAUUCGCCUAUAAUCACCUCUCCUAUGCUCGCUGCAUCAUUUAUGUACACACCGUGUAAUACGGGCUUGAGGAGAAUCAGAGCAUCUGAUGAUUGCGAUCACAUCACCAAAGGUGUGCCUCUCAGCCUAUAAAAUCCAUUCUUAAAUGGGUUAUUGUAUUUGAAGUGAUUUAUUACAAUCUUUAGAGAUAAAAUAUGAAUACUGUACAAGAGGUGUGGAAACCGAGGUACAAAAAUGGCAUGUUCUAUGUAGAGGAGCAAUCAGAAACUAAUGAGUAUGCAUUCUAAUAAGAGUAAAGGCACUGCAGCAGAUUGAAAAGACUUCCUUUGAUUGAGAGUUGAACCUGUGCAGAGCUGGACUCAGUAAUAAAGCGGUGUUAUGUUCCUUUGCAUCUGAUUUUAUGAGACCUUUAUGUGUCAGUGUGACUCUCCUCUUUAUGUAUUCGUAUUUUAGUUUCAAUAUAUUUGCUUAGAGUUUGGUUUCCUUUAAUGAGGUAAAGCUUCAGGGUAUAAAUGUAAACGCUACUGUAUGGCCCCUGAGUUAUGAGUGGCAGGCGAGGAGUCAGGAAAGGAGGAAUAUAGUCUGAAGUGAAGAUCAGCUUUUUUUCAUUUAAAGAGGAAAUGCUUUUUUGUCUCCAUAUAUGUAGUGACUUUUUUUUUCUUGGGUGAUUUACCUAUACCUGACCUUUUCUAUUUAGUUCUUCAUCUUUUCCUUUAUACUUCCUAAGAGCUUUACCUAUAAUGCAUAUUGGAAAUAUUUUUACUAGUUUGUGGUUUGCUUUUCCGUUUUGUUUGUGAUUUUUUUGGCAUUCAGAAAUGUAAAGUUUUCACGCAGCUAAAUAUAUGAAUAUUUUCCUUUGA